GAUGAACGCUGGCGGCGUGCCUAAUACAUGCAAGUCGAGCGAACAGACGAGGAGCUUGCUCCUCUGACGUUAGCGGCGGACGGGUGAGUAACACGUGGAUAACCUACCUAUAAGACUGGGAUAACUUCGGGAAACCGGAGCUAAUACCGGAUAAUAUAUUGAACCGCAUGUUUCAAUAGUGAAAGCCGGUUUUGCUGUCACUUAUAGAUGGAUCCGCGCCGCAUUAGCUAGUUGGUAAGGUAACGGCUUACCAAGGCAACGAUGCGUAGCCGACCUGAGAGGGUGAUCGGCCACACUGGAACUGAGACACGGUCCAGACUCCUACGGGAGGCAGCAGUAGGGAAUCUUCCGCAAAGGGCGAAAGCCUGACGGAGCAACGCCGCGUGAGUGAUGAAGGUCUUCGGAUCGUAAAACUCUGUUAUUAGGGAAGAACAAAUGUGUAAGUAACUAUGCACGUCUUGACGGUACCUAAUCAGAAAGCCACGGCUAACUACGUG
rnacentral:rRNA from 1 species